rnacentral:lncRNA from 1 species
CCGAUCAAGCACACUGGUGGCUCCAUUAACACACAUAUUAUGGCCGAUAGUUUGAUAAAAAUUCUAUACUUAAAUUAAUUUCAUAUUGAAUUGAUCAUAUGUAUAUUUUAAUUAAUUUAAUUUUAUUAUUUAUUUAUUAUAAAUACGGUAGCUGGAUCGUGCAUCAGGGCAGCUCAGAUAUGAGAGGCCACAUACCAAUCUAGGAGGACUGAUGAUUACUUAGAUCUUGAAUUUCGAC